rnacentral:misc_RNA from 1 species
AAAAAAAAAAAUAUGUACAAACUUUAAAAAAAUAAUAAAAUGACAUAACAAAACCAGAAUUCCACCGAGGAUGAAGGCCUUUGAACCAUUCUCCCUGGACUCCCUUGCAUCAUGAACCGCAACUUAUUGAGCUUAGUUCCUCACCUCUUAGUUUGGUCAUCACAGUUCCACACUUCACUUCCAAUCAAGCAUGUCUAAUAGCCACAAAACCUCCUCCCUGGAAUUUGCAGCAUCACGGAAAUCCAUUUCAAUCCCAAAAACAUCAAUGACACCCUCAUUUCCAUCUUCCAUGAAGAGCAAAGAUAUCCAUGCUCGGAUACCAGGAAUAAAUGGGUGAACUGGGGAGAAAUCAAGGUACUCAAAUGCCAUAGCCCUGUAGGCCGUCCGAUCUAUAUAAUCAAACAUAGAUCUAUUAAUGACACGAGCAACUUUGUUGGAAUCUUUGCGCCCUACAAGCACUGAAACACUCACAGUC